rnacentral:misc_RNA from 1 species
GCGGAGGAAAAGAAACCAACAGGGAUUGCCUCAGUAACGGCGAGUGAAGCGGCAACAGCUCAAAUUUGAAAUCUGGCCUCACGGUCCGAGUUGUAAUUUGUAGAGGAUGUUUCGAGCAUGGUCCGGCCUAAGUGUCUUGGAACAGGACGUCAUAGAGGGUGAGAACCCCGUAUGCGGUCGGGUGCCUACGCUCAUGUGAAACUCCUUCGACGAGUCGAGUUGUUUGGGAAUGCAGCUCAAAAUGGGUGGUAAAUUUCAUCUAAAGCUAAAUAUUGGCCAGAGACCGAUAGCGCACAAGUAGAGUGAUCGAAAGAUGAAAAGCACUUUGGAAAGAGAGUUAAACAGUACGUGAAAUUGUUGAAAGGGAAGCGCUUGCAACCAGACUUGGGCGCGGCCGAUCAUCCGGUGUUCUCACCGGUGCACUCGGUCGCGUGCAGGCCAGCAUCGGUUCUGGUGGCUGGAUAAAGGCCCUAGGAAUGUGGCUCCUCUCGGGGAGUGUUAUAGCCUAGGGUGCAAUGCAGCCUACCGGGACCGAGGACCGCGCUUCGGCUAGGAUGCUGGCGUAAUGGUUGUAAGUGACCCGUCUUGAAACACGGACCAAGGAGUCUAACAUCUAUGCGAGUGUUUGGGUGUCAAACCCAUACGCGUAAUGAAAGUGAACGGAGGUGAGAACCCUUAAGGGUGCAUCAUCGACCGAUCCUGAUGUCUUCGGAUGGAUUUGAGUAUGAGCAUAGCUGUUGGGACCCGAAAGAUGGUGAACUAUGCCUGACUAGGGUGAAGCCAGAGGAAACUCUGGUGGAGGCUCG